rnacentral:rRNA from 1 species
AGUGAACGCUGGCGGUAGACCUAACACAUGCAAGUCGAACGGCAGCACAGUAAGAGCUUGCUCUUACGGGUGGCGAGUGGCGGACGGGUGAGGAAUACAUCGGAAUCUACUUUUUCGUGGGGGAUAACGUAGGGAAACUUACGCUAAUACCGCAUACGACCUACGGGUGAAAGCAUGGGAUCUUCGGACCUUGCGCGAUUGAAUGAGCCGAUGUCGGAUUAGCUAGUUGGCGGGGUAAAGGCCCACCAAGGCGACGAUCCGUAGCUGGUCUGAGAGGAUGAUCAGCCACACUGGAACUGAGACACGGUCCAGACUCCUACGGGAGGCAGCAGUGGGGAAUAUUGGACAAUGGGCGCAAGCCUGAUCCAGCCAUACCGCGUGGGUGAAGAAGGCCUUCGGGUUGUAAAGCCCUUUUGUUGGGAAAGAAAAGCAGCAGGUUAAUACCCCGCUGUUCUGACGGUACCCAAAGAAUAAGCACCGGCUAACUUCGUG